UAAACUACAAGCAUGAAGUAUGCCCAGAUACCAUAUCUGAGAGCUCCACAUGAACAGCUCUCUCUCUUUAGCUGACAUCACUUCAAAAGAUUAUCACCUCCUAUACAUUUUCACAAUUAUCUGGACUCUUUUCAAUUGCCCACUCCAACUACCAACAAAUCACACAGUUGUUGAAGGCACUUAUUAACUUGGUUUGUGCAGUUUCAUUUAUUAACAGAUUUUCUGUUUUAGCUGGGACUGAGUGCCAGGAAAUAUUUACACUACAUGCAUUCACUUCCAAUAAAUACCAUUUUCUACUUUUGUUAGAAGACAAAGAAUAUUUCCAGAAUGGUGUGCAUUUAGAGCAAUUAUACUGAUUUUUAAAGAGCUGAAAAGAAAUUUUCAUGAUAAUGACAACCUGCUUCCCUGACCCAAGUUAUGCUGGGCAUCACUCCCAGCUGCCAGAAGAGGGGAGCUUGGCAAGGCCUUCUCUCCAUUAGGUAGCUUCCCAUCACGUUUAACAGACAAAAAUAUUAAAUUCCCAAUUUUGCCAGGACUGGUGAAACUGGGCACCAGAACAUUCAACAGCUACUCUGAAGGAGGUUGGAUUUCACUGCUGAUGGGCCUUGGAGAGUUUCCAGCAAUUCCUGUUCAUCUGGUCCCUUGUCCCAGUGCUGUACCAGCCCUUUUAAAAGUCAUACAUGUUUAUUUAGUACUUCUUAGAAAUUCCCACAAUAGUAGCCAGCAACACAGACUAGUCCAACUGGUAUUUUUCCAGCUAACACUGUUUCGAACCAUAAUUUUUGGCAAAAUACAUAUUAUUCUUUAACCCUACAGCCUCGCUCCCAGUUUGUGACAGCUCCACAGCAAAUGUCCCUUUCUGCUCUGCCCACAGCAGCAGCAGAGCUGCCAGUGCCUGAAUGAUGUCUGGCUCCUUGGGCUGGUGUGGGAUCAACUGCCCCAAAUGGCACUGGGGCUUCUGAUGCACCUGUCAGGAGAUGUUCUCCUGCAUCCCCCAAGUUUCUGGAAAUGAGACUGAACUGCCAAAGCCAGCCAGGAGCACCAGGGUUACAACACAAUAGUGCUGGACCAAGUGGCAGCUCCAUCCAGAGACCCCAGUGACAGUCCAAGAGCUCUGUAUUGAACCAUUAAAUGUCUGGCAGAUCAGCACAGCUGUAAAUAUUUAAUGGCAAGAAGCCUGCUCAGAGUAGACAAGCACUUACUCAUUUUUGUCUCAGUUUCCUUGCCUAGGCACUCUGCAGAGAGGGGACAGAUGGCCUCCCAGCCCCAUCAGUGUUUGCUCCUGUGUCCCCUACCUGUGCACCUUCCUCAAGGGGCACCUGUGGCAGGCAGACACCCUGAUAACAGCCUGGGCAGGUACAGGGCCUUAGAGAUGGCAAAAGGGCCACCUGUUUUCCAGAAGACAUACCAGGAUCACAGCUUGAUGCUAGCAAGGUGUUUUCUGUUGAAAUACCUGUUGAAAGGGUACUGCUAAGGCACUCUACAAGAAUUAAUAGAAGACAUGGUUUAUCCAAAGGAGGAGAAGUCCAACAAACAAGAACAACAACCAGAAUUACUUUUGAGCAAGGCAUUUCAGUUUAUUGUCAAGACACUUUCUUCCCUCAUUUGUCAGCAAGUAUUUUAGAUAAUUUCUAACAUGGACUUCCAGCUCAAAGAGGUCACAAUUUCCCAGACCCUGGUGAUCAUUUGAGAGAGCAAGUUUGUGGCACAGAAAGUAAUGUUUUAGAUUCUUUGUUCCCAAACCCCAACAUGGCUCCACAUGAGAUUGUCACAUUAUGCAAGAAACUCAUCCCAUGUAUUUGAUGACUACUUUGUUGCAGUCAGUCCUGGACUUCAAAGCUGCACUUCAGAAAAAAAAAAACUUUUGUUACACAGCUUGCUUGCCUUGGGUUGUGCUUAAGAGUCUAAAACCAGAGUACUGCUUGUGGUUUUUUUAACUUAGAAAUAACCAAUCAACUACUUUCCAUGUUUCCACAUGCCACAGUCUCAAAUUCUGACCAAUUUUGCAAGAAAACGCAUGAGCAAAUGGAGAAAUCAGGCUUAAUGUUCUGUGUUGGAAUAAAUAAAGGGCUGUCUCUUGAAUAUUACAUUGAGGUACUUUUUUUCCUCUGUGUAUCUCAUCACAAGAGACCUUUCUGUGGAAUUUGUUUGUUUGAUCUUUGCCCUAGAAGAUCCAAGUGUGCUGUGUAUGGGAAUAUGGCAACCUCAUUUGGGAUCACCAGUGGUUUGAUACUGUCUAUCCAUGGCUUGCCAAUGGACUUGAGCUACCUUAGACUCAAACUUGGACUUCUGUGCAACUCUGCAUGACCUGUGCUCACAGCCACGUCUCCCUGGGCACCCAUUUUCCUUCGGAUCUCCUUGCUGAAAUGUACUUUUGUUUUGUAUCAGGACUCCACAAAAAAGUAAAUACAUUAAAAUCAUUAUAAUUUCCUAGUCUGUGACCGCUGCACUGACUACAUAAACCUGGCCUUUGCUUUUUAAGUCCUUUGGACUACACUGUAGCUCCAGAUGGCACAGCAAUUUGCAAAAUCACCAUUUCCAGGCAGCACAUUACAACACCCUGAUUAAGGCAAGAAGGAUGGGACCAUGUCUUACUAAGGCAGCUUCUCAGCUGGUGAUGCUGCACUGGGCACUGAAUUCUUGUGUCAUUGGAAUGCUCUUUCCCUCUUUUAAACUGACCUAGAAAUCAGAGGUUUUCCCCAAAUUUAGUUCCCAAAGGCAGGAAUUUGUGUGUCCAUUUUCUGCAACUCAGUGUGAAGAGACUGCUGGAAAGAGCCUGUAAUUUCUUCUGGAAAAUGUACAUUGAACAGAUAUUUGACUUUUAAAAAAGAAAACAUUAGUGUUCUACCAAGAUGCACAUGAACAACAUUCCUCCCCAGAUAGCAGAUAGUUCAUGUAGUUUCUUCUAUUCUUGUUUCCAGGAUUUCAUCUUGUGAUGUUUUAGAAUUUUUUGGUUUUCUGGAGAUUUUUGUUUUGUUUUGUGGUUUUGUUUUCAUAAUUUACGUAUUUUUUCCUCACAAAUUAGUUUUUACCAUCUAAACACAGAACCUAAAUUUUUAACAUUUUUUUUCCUAGAGGUAGUGAAAACGCAGAAACUUAUUGCUACCUUAUGUGUCCUGACAAAUUUUUUUUUUUUUUCCUUCAGCAGCUAACAAUUCUGGUUUUAUACUGUAGGUUGGUGCACAAAUAGACCAGAGUACUACAGACAGAAGCAACUCAGCUACAUUGGGACUGGAUUUUCUUCUCUAUAUACCUCCCCACAUGCUUAUACACACACAUUUGGAUUCACUAUUAACAGACAAUUUCCUACUAAAAAUCAAUGACAUUUUCCAUUAGCAUUGUUGGGAGAAGCAUUGAUUGGCCCUUAAAAGGUUGGCUGCACAUUAUGUGAAAGAACCCAACUGCAAAGAGCUAAAUUUGCAACAUAAAAUGUACUCAACAUUCCGCCAGGGAAGCACUAUCAAGGCUUUUAUCCAGUUUUUCAGGAUAAUAUAUGACACAGCACAUCUUUAUCCAACAUUUCUAUAUUUUACUCUGCUGAGUGUUUAUUAAUUCACACCAGUUAUAACCACAGUCACAAUCCAGCACUGAGUAGUUGCAAGAUUUUAAUGCUGUACUCAGAUUUAAGUUGGUAACAUCCCUUUAGAACCAAGAAAGUUAUCCAUUUUGCCUGAAGAUUUUUCUAGUCUUGACCAUGCAAGAAAUCACUUUCAAAAGUUAUUCAGAAAAUUAAGUGUAACGGGGGAACUCACACAGCUACCAAGGGCAUUAUAAAGCUAUUGUGCUCCCUUUUGUGAGUAUUGAAGUUAUUUUAAAUAAAACAUGUAAAAUGAUUCCUCAUUCUCACUCUAAGUUAUGUAACACACUGUUUUACCAUUGAAGCCCAUCCUUUUAAUUCUCUUUUGGAAAAGCAAACAAUGCAUCAUUUUGAAUCACUCAAAUGUACUGUGGCACUGGCUUUGUUUCAACAGUGACUGCUGCUACAAAUGACUUUUCCAGAACUUUGUGGUAUCCAAAGAAUACCUAACAAGAUCUAUUUGCUUGCACUAGUAUUAACACAUUCAUCCCUGUGCUGUCUGCAAGAGUGGCCUCUGUUUGCUCCAGGAAAUGACUGAAGGUUUAGCAAGUUACCCCAAUGCAAGUGUCUGUAGACCUGUACCCAGUACAUUGGAAGCACUGGAUGCAGAGUUGUUGGUAGAAAUUAGACAAAAUAAGUCUGAGCUUUGAUCUUCCCAAUCCCCUUCAUUCUUUCCAGACUUCAGGCACAGUGGUUCUAUAGAACCCUCCCAAAAGCUGUGCUUGGGCCACCUAGCCAGUGCUGCCUGAGGUCUCCUGGAGCACUCCUCACUCCAGCCUACUACUGCUUCUCUAAGCUCACCCAAUUUUGCUCAUUUUCCUCUUCUAAAUUGUUUGGGGUUUUGGGUUUUUCCCCCCACGUUUGACUGACUUCAGCCUUCUACACCCUUUGAAUUAGGAUGAAACACAUGGGCUACAAUUUUUCUUCCUCCUUGCUGUGGCUAUUCCAUUGUUCCUUUGCCUUUUUCUCUCCUCUGUUCUUGCUGAAACUUCUUUACCAUCUAGAAUCUGCACUAGCCUGCCCAACCCAUACCUUAAUCUGUGCAUUCACUGUACUUCUCAGUAAUCUCCUUGCUUCCCCUUUUCUGCCAGCGCCUUCUUUCAGGCUGAGCCUUAUGCAGGAACCAGCGUCCCAGUCCUGGUUUCUCAAAAUCCUGUCUUCAUCAAAUUCACUUCUUAUCCAAAUCUUUUAACUGAUAUCCAGCAGCCUUCCAAACCUCCUCUCGCCAAGCUAUUGCUCCUUGCAUAACCUCCAUCAUUUCAAUUAAGUUCUCCUUUCCAGUGUACAAACAGCAGUGAAGGCUUGUAAAUGCCCCAGGGCCUUGUGAAUGUAUUUACAGAUUCACAACAUUAUUGGGCUGCCUACAUCUGACAACAGAACUUUGAACAUUAAGGAACAAAACAUGAAAUGAGUUAAUAUAUGGCAGAAUUUAGAAAAAGACUGAAGCUGAAAACCAUUCCCAGUAAAACGGACACCAGAAAUAAAUCUCACAUCUAGCUUCAAUAAAGAUUCUUGUUUUAGAGGCAAACUGUAGACCAGCUGUAAACUCCAAACAAGCCCUGUGAUACUAUGAUGCAUUAAGCACCAGGAUGACAAGUCUACUUUUUCUCUUCAGCACAACCAAGUCUGCAUAUGUGCCCUCCUCUCCUUCUGCUCUGGAUGUCUUUAGAAGAGGCUUGCUAAAUUUAAUCUACACUUGUAGACCCAUAAAACCUCACUGCAAAACCUCCCAAUGGAGGAACAUUAUUGUCUAAGGAAGUAACUUUGAAGUUUUAAGUGUGACAAAAUAAUGAACCAGUUCUGCCUGUGGGGAGAUGACAUGGUGACAUCUCUGUAAGAAAGUUACAUCAGCUACCAAAGUAAGUGGUAUUAGCACCAUUAAAUAUAUUUCAGCACACCUAAGGUAUUUCACUACCUGUAAAAUGUAGUCUUGUAGCAAGAUCAGCAGGGCUGCCUAAACACUGUCUUCUGCACGUUAGCCAAAACACGAGCCUUAGCCCAAGUUCACCAAGUUCACCAGAUGUGGGUUUUAGAGGAGCAUCAAGGCUGUCUGUGCCAGAGAGGAAAUUCAGCCUGGGCUACAUUCAAGUUUAAUCUCAUCUACCUGCACUGACACCGUGCAUGUAAGCCAGGCUUUUCUCAAGAGUUCCCUGCACAGCCCAUAAACAACGGCAGCAUCAGCUGGCCAUCACCAGGGAACAAGCUGGCCAUGCUCACCCCUACAGGCACUCGAUGCAAAGGGCUGCAAAUGCUGCAGGCACCAGAGAUACAAUUUUGCCCAGUGCAUUCAUUUUUCACUUAGAUGAUUCAUCUUAGAUUUCAUCUGUAAACAAUAAAGGAAGCCUGAGUGUUAUUUAUGACACACUGUCCUGUCAGGAUGGGGGCACGAGGACUGGCUAGCAUUUAGCAUGGCUUUCUACAGGACAGCACCUGCUGUGAAAAGGACUUGGUCCUUUCAUGUUUCAUGAGAUCAGCUGAGCAAGACAGAGCAAAGCAACACUGGCAAGAUGUUUAGUGCUAAACACUCUACACUGCUACCUCUUUGUAACAGAAUGUAGUUCAAUAUUAACAAUAUCUGAAACAAUCUGCUUUAUCCAGUUAGGUUUUAUCUUAAUUUUAAAAAUCAAAUGGUUCUUUCAAUAUAGUUAUCAUAUGAAAAUGGUAGAAAGUUUGCUGCACACCAGUUGAUACACCCUUGUUCCACUGAGUGCAGCUGGAUUCAAUUUGUCCAUUUCACUUCCCACUCACUCUGCUUAUAAUCUGGUUCUCCAAGAACUUUAGUUUUCUGGGACAGGUUGCAAGUAGGACAGAAGUAGUAGAAACACUCACAUGACACUGGAGAAAGCUUAGGAUUAUUUAAAUUUUUUUAGUCUCAGAACUGAGAUACCAAAAUGGGAUGGAUGAGUGAGUACACUUUAGUUGUGUCUAAAGUGAAUUAGUAAAUUUUGCAAUGAAAACUGGAAAUUAGUAGGUGGAUGCAUGGAUGAUGGCAUUCAAUGGGUUGCCAUACGCUGUGGGACACAUCUUUUGAAGGAGAUUUUAAUCGACUCAAAAGACAAUAUGGCAACUGGCAGGCUUUUACUUUAUUGAAGCAAAGUCACAGCAUUUUCAGCACUAUUCCCCUCUUGUGAAGGGAAGAGUUAAACGAAGGCCCCUGAAAUUUACAUAACUAACAAGUAAAGGAUUGAAGAAAGAGAUUACAAGCAUAUUUCUCUAAAAUAAAUAAUCUACAAAGAGUGCUUUUUCUUCUUAAAAGCAAUCUAAAAAUGUAAAAAUUCUACGGUAAGGAGAUCAAAAGAUAUUUUAACAACUUUCAAUAUUUACAAACAAUACAAAAACUGCGCAUGCCAUCAAAUGAUGCAAAAUUCUUAUUAAAAAUUAAAAGCUUCAUUCCUACCAAGAACCAAAAACUCCAGCCAAUAUUUCAGUUUUAAUUAAUGGUCUUCUUUACAAUUGGAAAACCGUUAAAUGUUCUUAUUAUCUGUAAAAUAUACAAUAAAAACGAACCUCACUAAAUUAUUAAGGUUAAAAAAGAAGAGCAAUACUGCAGGCAAAUCAAAAAGGAAAGUAACCGUAACUUAUUCUUUGGUAACCAAAAGUUAGCAAGUAUCUGUAUUUCAAGUGAUGCAAAGUAAUAGUCUCCCCAUUUUGACAAAUGAAAGACAGAUUUCCGGCAAAAUACAAUUCCCAAGUUUCAGUUUUGAAAGACGGGCUCCACCUACAGCUUUGUAGUGCAAGUCAAAUUUCUCUUUCUAAUUCAGAAACACAACUGUCCUGGUUCCGGCCAGGACAGGGUUCAUUUUCUGCAGCAGCCAGACGGGGCUGUGGCCAGGACACAGAGGUUGCUCUACACCACCUCACAACGCUGCUGGGAACAAGGAGGAGGGGCAGCAGGUCACACCUUACUGGGCUCUGUCACCUGGGAGCCAUUCACCUUUCUCGUGCACGCUCUAAGCGUUGUCACUGUUACUGUCCAUUUUCUUACUUCACUGUUGUUUCCAGUGAAUUUUUAUUUUAUCAGCCCCCAACCUUCACCUUUUGUGCCUCUAAUUCUCCUCCCCAGCCACCCGCAGACGUAAGAGGAGAGGGGAGUGAGUGAGUACAUGGUCUGGAGUGUUGUGGUGGAACACUAAAUUGGGGAUUACCAUUCCUAAACCAUGACAGCAACCCUUCCAAAUUCUGGCUUCAUUCAUCUCCUACUUUCCUGAUGUCUGCUUGCACCCUCCACAUGCAUCCAGCUGUUCUAGUUCUCUAAGGGAAUACUCCAGUCAAGGAAGCAAUUCACCGGGAAAUGUGUGUUUCACCAAGUGAAGAUGUGUGGCUGCACAGCAGCCAGUAGUGUGUUAUAAAAUCAGCUCCCUUUUCCACCUUAACUACACAGUUCAUUUUCCCUCAGGAAAAAGAAUUAAAAGUACAGUACCCUGGACCAAUCCAUAACCUGGUGAGCUCAGUGCUUGAGCAGGACAUGCUUCAUCAAACGCUGGGCCAUACUCCUCCAAGGAGCCAUGUAACCCCAGCAUCAACCCUGCUACCUUCUCUCAGAGGUGAAUGUGCCUCAUUGUGCCUCCCUCUGCUCCACAAAUGCACUACGCUGCAUCACUACAAUGCUUUUGAAACAAAUGUCCAGCUUGUACCACAGGAGCCUUCGCAUUUCAGGCUUAUUCCCAAAUUUUGCUUGCACAAUUGCAGUCUUAAGAAAAAGAAAAACUUCACACCCCUACAGACUCUGAGAAAACUUCCC